UCCGGACGAGAUGAGCAGGGAGGGCAUUGUCAGGAUAGAGGCAGCCUGGACAAAGACAUGGGAGGUGGGAGAUGGAAUAUGGAAUACAUUUUAUGCAUCAUUUUCUUUUUUUAAAGCCCUUAUCUUCAAUACUGUGUAUUGAUUCCAAGGCAGAAAGGGCUCGGCAUUGGGGGUUAGGUGACUUGUUCAGGGUCACCCAGCUAGGAAGUAUCUACGGUCAAAAUAAUAAUUUUUUAAAACUCUUCCAUUUUAGAAUCAAUACUAUGUAUUUGUUCCAAGGGGGAAGAUCCAUAAGGGCUAGGCAAUGGGCCGUAGACAACCAGGACAUAUCUGAAGCCAGAUUUAAAUGCAGAGACAAGAGGUCCUGGGUCUCCGUCCACUGAGCCACCACGCUGCCCCCUUCUUUACUCAUCAUUGCUUCCAUCUUGUUCUGAAGUGCUGGCUCCGAGGUAAAGCCUGGCCUGUGCCUCCAGCAGGACGGAGGGAGAGGACCCGAUGAGUUCCAGCAGGGAAGAUGCAGACCCCAGAGACGCGGGGCUUCCGCUCUCUCACACUCGGAGCAGAGCUUGGCCAAACGCCCAAACCUGGUGUCCUGGGUCGGCGUCCUCCCGGCCAGCCCACGAGGUGUCCGACAAGGAUGUGUACAUUUUCUCAUGGAAGGCAUUCCAGUGCGGGAUGUGACGUCACUGCUGAGUGGCAGAUGCUUUCCUGGGAAAAAAUGUUCCUGCUUGCAGAUCUGCGAGACACAGAGGAAAGCAGGAGUCAGAGCCUUCUUUGUUCCAAUAGGCCGUCUGGGGUGCGAGGAGGAUUGGGGGAUUUCUGGAGCAGAAUUCUGCUGUGGGGGCGAGAGAAGAUGCGAUUAUUAGACGCUCAUUUGACAGAUGAGAAAAAUGGAGGCCAACAGGAUGAAGUGACACACAGCAAAUAA
rnacentral:lncRNA from 1 species